UACGUAGGACCCAAGCGUUAUCCGGAGUGACUGGGCGUAAAGAGUUGCGUAGGCGGCUUAGUAAGCGAGUAGUGAAACCUGGUGGCUCAACCAUUCAGACUAUUACUCGAACUGCUAGGCUCGAGAAUGGUAGAGGUAGCUGGAAUUUCGUGUGUAGGAGUGAAAUCCGUAGAUAUACGAAGGAACACCAAUGGCGUAGGCAGGCUACUGGACCAUUUCUGACGCUAAGGCACGAAAGCGUGGGGAGCGAACCGG
rnacentral:rRNA from 1 species